rnacentral:rRNA from 2 species
GUGGUAAUGCCGGAUGCUCCAGUUGAUCGCAUGGUCUUCUGGGAAAGCUUUCGCGGUAUGGGAUGGGGUCGCGUCCUAUCAGCUUGACGGCGGGGUAACGGCCCACCGUGGCUUCGACGGGUAGCCGGCCUGAGAGGGCGACCGGCCACAUUGGGACUGAGAUACGGCCCAGACUCCUACGGGAGGCAGCAGUGGGGAAUAUUGCACAAUGGGCGCAAGCCUGAUGCAGCGACGCCGCGUGAGGGAUGGAGGCCUUCGGGUUGUAAACCUCUUUUAUCGGGGAGCAAGCGAGAGUGAGUUUACCCGUUGAAUAAGCACCGGCUAACUACGUGCCAGCAGCCGCGGUAAUACGUAGGGUGCAAGCGUUAUCCGGAAUUAUUGGGCGUAAAGGGCUCGUAGGCGGUUCGUCGCGUCCGGUGUGAAAGUCCAUCGCUUAACGGUGGAUCCGCGCCGGGUACGGGCGGGCUUGAGUGCGGUAGGGGAGACUGGAAUUCCCGGUGUAACGGUGGAAUGUGUAGAUAUCGGA